rnacentral:rRNA from 1 species
AUGAAUUGGACUCCACCUAUGUCAGCGUUGAUGCUGAAAGGACUUUCAGAGGUGGCGGCAAGAGGUGCCAAGACUGAUAAAGGAUUCAAAGAGGUUGAAAAAUUGAAAGUUGCAAAGCGUAUAUCUUCUUUCGUUGGUUAUGACGUGUCUAUUACCCAAGUGCACAAUCAUAUUCGCAAGUGGAGGAAUAGGUGGACAAGGCUUGUCUAUUUGAAGGGUUUAGGAGCACUUUGGGAUGAUGACAAGAAGAUGGUAGUGCUAGAAGAACAACACUAUUUGGGACACACACACAUGUCUCAGUUAAUUAUUUUUGUUCAAAUGGUGUUGUAGGAUCAUCCAACAGAUGCUGAAUUGCUCAAUUCUCCACUGAAGAACUACGACUAUAUGGAACUUUGCUUUGCUAAUAAGCAUGCCACUGGGAAGUAUGCAAUGGGCCCCGGUGUGCCCCUAGGGACGCCUAUUGUUGUCGAAGACAAGGAUAAACCGAAUGUCAUGGAGGGGGAAGGAACAACAGAUGAGGUAUUGCAACAUCAGCCUGGGUCUAACUUUGUACUUCCUACUGCUAGUGCCACUCAGGACCCUUCUCCUACUUCAAAUAAGAAGAGAAAGAGGGCAUCUGGCUUGACUGUGGAGGACUCAAUCCAGUGUAGCAAAAUUAAUGAUCCUAUGCGUGAGAUUGCAAGUGCUAUCAACAACACUUGCCAUGUUGAGACUGCACCCUGCUUGUACAACGCUGUCAUGGACCUUCUUGUGUUUGAGCAAGAUGAGCGUUUGGCUGUUUUUGAUUAUGUCACAAAACAUAAGGCAAAAGGCCUUAACUUUGUGAAGAUGAAUGAUGAAGUCCGAAAAGCAUCGUUCAAGCGAAUCUUGAAAGCCAAUCCCGAUCUUCUUUGA